UGUAAGUAUACUAAGUGUCACAGAACUACUUUUUUAAUGGGGAUGUUCUGGGCUGUCCUAGACGGCUGCUAUAGCAAGCUUUGCAGCUCAUGUUCCCCAGAUUCAGUGAUUUGGGUCCUGGGUAUAAAUUUGGUUGAGGACUUUC
ensembl:snoRNA